UACGUAGGGUCCGAGCGUUGUCCGGAAUUACUGGGCGUAAAGAGCUCGUAGGUGGUUUGUCGCGUUGUUCGUGAAAACUCACAGCUUAACUGUGGGCGUGCGGGCGAUACGGGCAGACUUGAGUACUGCAGGGGAGACUGGAAUUCCUGGUGUAGCGGUGGAAUGCGCAGACUAUCAGGAGGAACACCGGUGGCGAAGGCGGGUCUCUGGGCAGUAACUGACGCUGGAGGUGCGAAAGCCGUGGGGAGCAAACAGG
rnacentral:rRNA from 1 species